UUUUGCCUUUUUUGUUUUUCCGUUCCUAUGGCUUGCCAUCACCACCAGAUGGCACUGUGGAGGUUAGGAUAGGAGGACUGAAGGGCUGACGUCACACCGGUUCCCAAUCCACUCGUCAGCGGGACUUCAAGAGACGGCGACUGCCAGCAUACCAACGCUUGAGUGUUAGCCAGUAAUGGUAACCCAGAGCCCUCUCCAGCGACCUAGUUGAGCCUCCUGUAGAUUCUGAUCUAACGCCAUCUGUUGUUUGGAUUUUUUCAGCUGUUCUUGCAACGUCAAGUCUGGCUGAAGUCCCGAGUUUCCCUUGCGACGCCGUCAGGAUCCUAUUACCUGUCCGCCCUCCACCGCAGCACAACCUCCACCUCCAGCGCCUCCACACCUGGCCACGCCGUUGUUUUUUCUCCUCCCCGAAAGUCCUGACUUACCUGUCUGUCGCCGUCCCUUCGAUGACUGAGAGCCUACCCUGGAAAUCUUUUGUAAAUAAAUCACUUUAACUGAUC